UAGGGAAGUUAAUUUUCUAUCAAAUUUACUGCAUCUCCCCCUUGCCCUCCCCCUCCCCCUCAAUCGUCGCUGCAAACUUUCCAACCCCCAACCGCCGGCCGCCACCGCCGGCACCGCGUAAUACCCCUGCUGUCGUGGCCUCCUUCACUAGCCCAGCGCCUCCACGAUUCACCCUCUCUCUCUCUCUCCACGAACGGUUGUUCGCCUCAAACUGCCGCACCCGCACAGCCCCAUCCGCCGUCGCUCGCCAGCUCGCCGUCCGCCACCAUUACUGUCGGCAUCAGCAUCGCACUACUGUUGCCGGCACACUCACGCUCGGUGAUGGCUCGGCUCCAGUAUUGGCUUCAAGGAGGACGACAAGCUCAUUUUAUCGGAUCCUUCUAUUCCAAGACCAAAGCAUUGGUCUUUGCAUUUCUUCUGCUAAUUUUCUUGGUGACUCGGGCAGAUUCACUACAACAAAAUCAACCUUUGGGGAUGCUUUUAUGAGGACUAUAUCAGGUUAAGAGUCCUAUUUUGUAUUUAAUAGGACUCUUGUUCAAAACUAUCUUAUCUAAUCUUCUCACUACUAUGAAUUAUACCUAUUUCUAUGUUGCCAAUGCAGUGAAAUAGGUUAUGGUACCAGACAUGGAACCUAAAGUUUUUAAGGUGAGUGGAUGUUAUAGAUUUAAUCUGCUCUUUUUGGAUCUAGCGGAGUAAUUAUCUUACCUAAUAGAUAGCUUUUGCAUUUUGGUGACUUGUUAUUUCUGCACUUUCUGUUCAUUUCCAUAAUGGGGAAUGUGUAAUACAUGCUAAUUUUCUUUGAUUCACAACAUGCGCUGCUACACUUUAUCUACAGAGAUGCCUUGGCUGAAAAUGAGCUGAUAGCAUCUAGUUCUUGUUCUACUCCUUUGGUAGCUGACACCUUAACUGCGAAAUUGCUAGUUGCAGCUGAUCAUUAUGACUUAGAAAGACUCAAAAGUAUAUGUGAAUCUCAUAUGUGCAAAGAUAUAUAUAUGGCGUCGCUCCACCGCCGUCGUCACCCUUGCUGGACUCUGUUUCUCACAAGCUUUUAAUAAUCAAAAUCUUCGACCUAAAUCAGCGAGCUGGGUGCCAUGGUAGCUCAUUAGCUGUUAUGAAGAAAUCAUCGAAGUUUCUACUUUUUUCCUCAAUAUUUUACUCUUAAGAAGAAGUCGAUGAAGUUCGGAGAGAGGGGGCUGAGUUUGUAUAUUAAUUUGUUGAUAAGAGCGAUGAUGAAGGUUCAAACUAGUUGGAUGGUUGAUUUGUUGGAUGAUUGGUGGUGAAUGAAGGCGUAACUAGUUGGAGAUUUUAUUAGAGCUUUUUUUUAGUAGAUAAAUGAAGGCGUAUUAGAGACGAUAAUUGUGAAUGUGAAUAUUAGUGGUUUAUAAGUAUUGUUUAAUUAUAAGUGGUUUAUGAUUAUUGCUUGAUUGUUUGAUAUUUAA